ACCCAGACUCCUACGGGAGGCAGCAGUGGGGAAUAUUGCACAAUGGGGGAAACCCUGAUGCAGCGACGCCGCGUGAGCGAUGAAGUAUUUCGGUAUGUAAAGCUCUAUCAGCAGGGAAGAAGAUGACGGUACCUGACUAAGAAGCCCCGGCUAACUACGUGCCAGCAGCCGCGGUAAUACGUAGGGGGCAAGCGUUAUCCGGAUUUACUGGGUGUAAAGGGAGCGUAGACGGCGAUGCAAGCCAGAUGUGAAAGCCCGGGGCUCAACCCCGGGACUGCAUUUGGAACUGUGUGGCUGGAGUGUCGGAGAGGCAGGCGGAAUUCCUAGUGUAGCGGUGAAAUGCGUAGAUAUUAGGAGGAACACCAGUGGCGAAGGCGGCCUGCUGGACGAUGACUGACGUUGAGGCUCGAAAGCGUGGGGAGCAAACAGGAUUAGAUACCCUGGUAA
rnacentral:rRNA from 1 species